AUACCAUGAUGCGGGCACUUCCUUAACAACUCUUUGAAUCUCUCCCAUGCAUCAUUCAACGAUUUGCCUUCAGUAUGGUAGAAAUUAUUAAUCUUCCUUCUCAACUU